GGAGGCAGCAGUGGGGAAUUUUGGACAAUGGGGGCAACCCUGAUCCAGCAAUGCCGCGUGUGUGAAGAAGGCCUUCGGGUUGUAAAGCACUUUUGUCCGGAAAGAAAACGCCGUGGCUAAUACCCGUGGCGGAUGACGGUACCGGAAGAAUAAGCACCGGCUAACUACGUGCCAGCAGCCGCGGUAAUACGUAGGGUGCAAGCGUUAAUCGGAAUUACUGGGCGUAAAGCGUGCGCAGGCGGUUCGCUAAGACAGAUGUGAAAUCCCCGGGCUUAACCUGGGAACUGCAUUUGUGACUGGCGGGCUAGAGUAUGGCAGAGGGGGGUAGAAUUCCACGUGUAGCAGUGAAAUGCGUAGAGAUGUGGAGGAAUACCGAUGGCGAAGGCAGCCCCCUGGGCCAAUACUGACGCUCAUGCACGAAAGCGUGGGGAGCAAACAGGAUUAGAUACCCUGGUAGUCCACGCCCUAAACGAUGUCAACUGGUUGUCGGGCCUUCAUUGGCUUGGUAACGUAGCUAACGCGUGAAGUUGACCGCCUGGGGAGUACGGUCGCAAGAUUAAAACUCAAAGGAAUUGACGGGGACCCGCACAAGCGGUGGAUGAUGUGGAUUAAUUCGAUGCAACGCGAAAAACCUUACCUACCCU
rnacentral:rRNA from 3 species